CUUUCUUUGCUGGCGACCGGCGCACGGGUGAGUAACACGUAUCCAACCUGCCCUUUACUCGGGGAUAGCCUUUCGAAAGAAAGAUUAAUACCCGAUAGCAUAAUGAUUCCGCAUGGUUUCAUUAUUAAAGGAUUCCGGUAAAGGAUGGGGAUGCGUUCCACUAGGUUGUUGGUGAGGUAACGGCCCACCAAGCCUUCGAUGGAUAGGGGUUCUGAGAGGAAGGUCCCCCACAUUGGAACUGAGACACGGUCCAA
rnacentral:rRNA from 1 species